CCUAUGUCCAAACAUCACUCAGGAGCAAUAAUCAUUUAAUUGUGAUUUUUAGAUCAAAAAAGACUGGUUGAGCCGAGCACCGUGGCACACACUUGUAAUCCCCAGCAUCUCAGGAGGCUGAGACAGAAGGAUUGCAAGUUCAAAGCCAGCCUCAGCAAUGGCGAACUGCUAAGCAACUCAAUGAGAUUCUGGCUCUACAAAACAGGGCUAGGAAUGUGGCUCAGUAGUUGAGUGUUCAAUCCGCGGUACCCCCUUCCAAAAAAAAAAGCCUGGUUGGAAAUAGUUUGCAAAAAUCAUAUGAAAUAAAAUUAAGUAAACAAGGAAAUGAUGCAGUCAGGGAAAAUGGAAAAUAAGAUUUUAAAAAAUAAAGGGGAAAAUUAAAAAUUAAUACAAAUGUGCAAGCAGUUAAGGAAGAUGCAUUCUCUUAUGAGAGGAAUGACCAGUGUGGGAUUAGGGCCUGUGGAAAAAAAGUUACAAGGAGGGAGAACUCAGUCAGCAUCUGUGAGAUUGAAAACACAACACUUGUUCCCAAGAGAUGUUAGAGGGCCUUGCAGCUUCAGAGACCUUAAAGGUAAGUUUAACUCAUAUCAACCAGAAAUGUUCUCUCAUCUUUAAGAUAUAAUGAUGUAGGUAACUGCUAUCAGAGGAGUCCUUACCAUAGUCUUACCAUAGAGUCUCACCAUGCUUGGAACAGUAUUACAGAAGCCCCAGGCAGUCAACUGUUUUCAACCAUGAAUGAAUCUGGGAUCAAAACAAAACUACUUGGAAAGAGAUACUUGCUAUCGAAUCUGAUACGUGCUGGAACAGAGAAAAGGGUGGGUAGUAGUGGAAUUAUUCCUGGUGGUGGGGACUAGCAAGUGUGGAAACAUGGAAUUGGAGAAGUAGACAGCCCAGGCUCUCAAACAGAUUGCACAGUGAGUGACAGGGAAGAAUGGAAAAUAGGCCUGAAGAAAACUGCUGGAGCUGCACUGUAAUGAGGAGCAUAGUACACACCGAGGCAUCAGUGGCCACUCUUGACAUAUGUGGGUCAGGGAUGGGUGCCCAAUGGAGGGGUUUUUAAAAGGAAAGGGAUAUAUUAGACAUUUUUUAGCACAGUGACUAGAUGGAGUGUAGAGUUNGAUUGCAAAAGAC
rnacentral:lncRNA from 1 species